GGGUGAUGAAACUACUCAAUUGCUGGAAUUACCGUCAGAUUGAACAGUGUUGAGCAAUGGUUCUCUGAUC